GACGAACGCUGGCGGCGUGCUUAACACAUGCAAGUCGAACGGAAAGGCCCUGCUUUUGUGGGGUGCUCGAGUGGCGAACGGGUGAGUAACACGUGAGUAACCUGCCCUUGACUUUGGGAUAACUUCAGGAAGCUGGGGCUAAUACCGGAUAGGAGCUCCUGCUGCAUGGUGGGGGUUGGAAAGUUUCGGCGGUUGGGGAUGGACUCGCGGCUUAUCAGCUUGUUGGUGGGGUAGUGGCUUACCAAGGCUUUGACGGGUAGCCGGCCUGAGAGGGUGACCGGCCACAUUGGGACUGAGAGACGGCCCAGACUCCUACGGGAGGCAACAGUGGGGAAUAUUGCACAGUGGGCGGAAGCCUGAUGCAGCAACGCCGCGUGCGGGAUGACGGCCUUCGGGUUGUGAACCGCUUUCGCCUGUGACGAAGCGUGAGUGACGGUAAUGGGUAAAGAAGCACCGGCUAACUACGUG
rnacentral:rRNA from 1 species